AGUGAACGCUGGCGGUAGGCCUAACACAUGCAAGUCGAACGGCAGCACAGUAAGAGCUUGCUCUUACGGGUGGCGAGUGGCGGACGGGUGAGGAAUACAUCGGAAUCUACUUUUUCGUGGGGGUUAACGUAGGGAAACUUACGCUAAUACCGCAUACGCUCUACGGGUGAAAGCAGGGGAUCUUCGGACCUUGCGCGAUUGAAUGAGCCGAUGUCGGAUUAGCUAGUUGGCGGGUUAAAGGCCCACCAAGGCGACGAUCCGUAGCUGGUCUGAGAGGAUGAUCGGCCACACUGGAACGGGGACACGGUCCAGACUCCUACGAGAGGCAGCAGUGGGGAAUAUUGGACAAUGGGCGCAAGCCUGAUCCAGCCAUACCGCGUGGGUGAAGAAGGCCUUCGGGUUGUAAAGCCCUUUUGUUGGGAAAGAAAAGCAGCAGGUUAAUACCACGCUGUUCUGACGGUACCCAAAGAAUAAGCACCGGCUAACUUCGUG
rnacentral:rRNA from 1 species